UGAGAGUUGGGUGGUGGACCAAGGCAGAAAUCUACAAAUGCAACAGAUUAGGUGUAGGCUCUGUUCUGGGCCAUGUUGAAUUGGAGAUGGCUGUUCCGUCUUCAAACGACAUGCUGAGGAGACGGUUGGCUAGGUUUCUCUGGAAUUCUCCCCAAGUGCUGGGGAGUUGCAGCUUUGGGAGGCAGCAGCACACAGAUGGUUUCUGAGGAAAAUUGAUGGGCUGUACUCACCCAAGGAAUGUGUCUACACCAAGGAAGAAGCGGCACGGUCAACCCAGCAUUGAAAGGGUCAUCUGGACUAGGGAUGACUGUUAACUCAAAAGACAUGUGCCAUUAACAGUGCUAAGCUGCUAGGAUCAUGGACAACGCAAUUCUUCUCUAUGAUGUGCAGUACGAGAGCAUCUUUUUAACACACCGAAUACAAAUGUGUCACCUUCAGUCUCUCUUCUCCUCUACAAAUAGGAGGUUACAAGGAAGGAGCUAUUUAGCAACUGUUUUCCAAGCCUUUGCUGGUCAUUUGCUCUCCUGAUGAGAGCAAUGGCUUCCAGAGUCAGCUGCAAUGGAAGGAAAAGGUCAGGACAACAUCUCACUUGGCUUUCCCAAAUGAGGCUUGGUCCCCCAGGGAGAGUCAUUGCUCUCUGGUGUGAUUUGGCAUCAACCACUUGUGAGCAGCAGGGAGGUUUGGGCUGAGUGUUUGCUGCAGAUCUCUGGUUGGGGUUUGAUAGCCUUAUCUUCCCUCUUGAGCCCACUGCUGACCCAGACUUGCAAAUGAGUGACCCAUUGGAAAAGUACAAUGACACUUGGCAUCUGAAGAGCUGUUUAGUAGAAAAUGUGGCAUUUGGAAUCUAAUAUAAAGUAAUUGGAGAGGGAAAUUCCAUGAUCUUAUGAAUUUCACUUAAAUAUCUUCUGUGAAAAAUCAACUCGGGUAUUACCUGUUGGUGGUUGGGUCUGAGCUAAGUGUUUUCAGGUGACAAAGAACAUGACUGUCCAAGUUAGGGUUAUGGUUGCUGUGUUGAGGCACCAUGACUGAAAGCAACUUGAGGAGGAAAGGGUUUUAAUUGGCUUCUGCUUCCACAUCAUUGUUCAUCACUGAAGGA